ACACCCUCAAGCUCUGCUUGGUGUUGGGCGUCUGUCCUGCUCUACUGCAUGGACUCGCUCUAAAGCUAUCGGCAGCUCCUAUGCCAGCCCCCAGCGCAGCAGAAUUAGCGCUCUGGAGGGCCUGGCUGGGCAGCGUCCGGCAAGAUUCAUUUCAA
rnacentral:misc_RNA from 1 species